GAUGAACGCUGGCGGCGUGCCUAAUACAUGCAAGUCGAGCGAACAGACGAGGAGCUUGCUCCUUCGACGUUAGCGGCGGACGGGUGAGUAACACGUAGGUAACCUACCUAUAAGACUGGGAUAACUUCGGGAAACCGGAGCUAAUACCGGAUAAUAUUUCGAACCGCAUGGUUCGAUAGUGAAAGAUGGCUUUGCUAUCACUUAUAGAUGGACCUGCGCCGUAUUAGCUAGUUGGUAAGGUAACGGCUUACCAAGGCAACGAUACGUAGCCGACCUGAGAGGGUGAUCGGCCACACUGGAACUGAGACACGGUCCAGACUCCUACGGGAGGCAGCAGUAGGGAAUCUUCCGCAAUGGGCGAAAGCCUGACGGAGCAACGCCGCGUGAGUGAUGAAGGUCUUCGGAUCGUAAAACUCUGUUAUUAGGGAAGAACAAACGUGUAAGUAACUGUGCACGUCUUGACGGUACCUAAUCAGAAGGCCACGGCUAACUACGU
rnacentral:rRNA from 1 species